AUUGAACGCUGGCGGCAGGCUUAACACAUGCAAGUCGAACGAGUGGCGGACGGGUGAGUAAUGCUUGGGAAUCUGGCUUUUGGAGGGGGAUAACGACGGGAAACUGUCGCUACUACCGCGUACCAUAGGAUGAGCCCAAGUGGGAUUAGGUGGUUGGUGGGGUAAUGGCCUACCAAGCCGACGAUCUCUAGCUGGUCUGAGAGGAUGACCAGCCACACCGGGCCGGAGACACGGGCAGGACUCAUACGGGAGGUAGUAGGGGGGAAUAUUGCGCAAUGGGGGCAACCUGACGCAGCCAUGCCGAGUGAAGGAAGAAGGCCUUGGGGUUUUAAAGUUCUUUCGGUGACGAGUCGUUAAUCACAGAAGAAGGACCGGCUAACUCCGUGCCAGCAGCCGCGGUAAUUC
rnacentral:rRNA from 1 species